rnacentral:rRNA from 1 species
CCUACGGGAGGCAGCAGUGGGGAAUAUUGGGCAAUGGGCACAAGCCUGACCCAGCAACGCCGCGUGAAGGAAGAAGGCUUUCGGGUUGUAAACUUCUUUUGACAGGGAAGAGUAGAAGACGGUACCUGUCGAAUAAGCCACGGCUAACUACGUGCCAGCAGCCGCGGUAAUACGUAGGUGGCAAGCGUUGUCCGGAUUUACUGGGUGUAAAGGGCGUGUAGCCGGGUUGACAAGUCAGAUGUGAAAUCCUGGGGCUUAACCGCAGAACUGCAUUUGAAACUGUUGAUCUUGAGUACUGGAGAGGCAGACGGAAUUCCUAGUGUAGCGGUGAAAUGCGUAGAUAUUAGGAGGAACACCAGUGGCGAAGGCGGCCUACUGGACGGUGACUGACGCUGAGGCUCGAAAGCGUGGGGAGCAAACAGGAUUAGAUACCCCAGUAGUC